rnacentral:lncRNA from 1 species
CAAAGAACACCCCAUCUGGUGACCCAAGCUUCAAAGCAGUGCUUCACUUCUAGCACCGGAUGGCCCCUCCUUCCUUUCCUACCUCCAUGAAUUGAAUUUUCUCUAGAUUAUAUCUAAAACAAAACCUUGAGAAUCGGAUGAGAAUUUCUGGAGAUCUGCCUUCAGCCUGCAUGGGUGAAGGUCACUUCACCCAUGCAGCAUUCCGCCGGUCACAUUCCGCCGUCCUUCACCAUUCCACCAUCCUUCACCAUUCCGCCGUCCACCAGAGCAUUCCGCCGUCCUUCACCAUUCCGCCGCUCUCAUGGCGAGCCAUGAUCCUAAGUCGAACCAUGAUGUUCUUCCUCUGGAUAAAAGCUUUUCCGACUGGAGUGUGCCUAUGGAUGACUUCACUGAUGAUACAAUGACCGCUACUGAAUAUGGACCUUCUGUUGAUUGAAAAACUAAAUUUGGAAAUCAAGGUAUUGGAAUCGAAAAUUAACACAAUCAAGGAUACGAAAAAAUAACUUGACACUACUAGACCUGUUACUGAACUGGAUAAAUACACCAAGGCACUUGCAAAGAUGUUACGAGAAGACACGCUGCAGAAGGACUACCUAAUAGUUUGCAAGAAAUGGCAUUAUGGUGAUUAGUAUAAAAGCGUGGUUCAGCUAAAGUUUCACAAGAACAGAAGUCAUGCAGCAUGAAACAUUUGAAGAUUAAAUAUGAGAUAUCUCCUUGCAAAAGCAGCAUUUUUUAAUAAACUCCUUAGCUAAUUCACUCAUGCAUGAAAAUGAUUUAUUGCAUAUAACUUUUUCAUGAGAGUAAAUAAGCACAUGUAUUGCUAAAUGACCUUUGAAUUUAAAUGAACUGCUAUAUUUAGCACAUGUUUAUAAUUUCUCACCAGUGUGGGUAAAAAUAUGUGUGUUUCUAACACACAUUUAACUGUGAAUAUCUAGUUACAAAUAUCACAUUCAUGUCAUUUCUCAUUGUUGCUGGAUAAGUAUUUGUCUCUUUAAUGCACUUGUGUGUGCGGAUGAUUUACAAACAUUGCAUUCAUGUAAGUUGCCCCCAGUGUGUGUAAACAAUUUUAUUUUAAUGAUGCAAAUAAUUCAUCACAUACAACUUGUUCGUGUGUGAUAAAGAUUUAAUAUGACUUUUGAGUAUAAAUGGCACGAACACACUCAUUUUGUUUUGUACCUGUGCGAAAGCAAUAUGUGCCUUUAACAUACUUGCAUGUGCAAAUAACUUACUAUAUAUACCUGGGGUGGCCAAACCUUAUGACGACAGCAGCCUCAUAGUGGAUUUCAUGAAUGUUCGAGAGCCGCAAAUCCAUAUUUAAACCAUUUAAAAAAUAAUAAGACAUGUUUUCAAUGGAAAGAAAUGUUUGAAGUAAAUUAAGAGUUUCACAUUUUAUAUGCGAUUCGCAUGGUUACAUGUAAAUGUAAAUAAAUAUUUUUUUUCCCUCUCUGUCCUGUAUUCAGGAAAGUAAGUCCCAAUAAAAUAUAAAUUUGAAAUUAGUGUACUGUGUAGUUGAGCAUUCUUCUUUCAGACAGAAAAAGCAAACAUAUUCUUUUUGUUUCCUCCUCCUUUUAUAACUGUUGUUUGAUUUUAGCAGACGUAAGCUAAAAUCGGAAAAAUAUGUAUUGUUCUUUAAGAAUACAGUUAUGUAAUACAUUUUUUGUAUGAGUGAGUUAUAAAUAAUUAAUUUUAAAAAAA